rnacentral:ncRNA from 1 species
UUGAAAAAAGCAGGUAAGGGAGAGACAUAUCACAAGGAAGAAGAUUGGCUCUCAUGGCUUGUUGCAUUGCGUCAAUGUGUUCUCCGCCCGUCAGACCUGUGCUUCUAUGGACCGACGGCAAUUGCCGUGCCGCGGCUAUUGAUUUGCCUCCGCAGUGAGCAGUUAAUUAGCAGUGGAAUAGAGAACCGGAAUCUGAAUGCUUCCUCAGUACAAAGCAUUGCGGCGGCCUUCAGCGGCGUUAAUGAAACGUGGCUCUACCCUGUGCUCUGAAUGUUGGUGCGGUGAAAUUCACCCAACUGCGGGUUAAUGGCGGAAAUAAACAAUGCGCAUAAGCUAGCCAAAUUUCCCGUCAACUAAUUAGUGGCAUGCACGGGUGGAUAAGCCAGACUCCCACAACAUCUACAAGCUAACUAGCGAAGCCGAAGCCAAGGCAGCGGGAUUGC